rnacentral:rRNA from 1 species
AACGAACGCUGGCGGCAUGCCUAACACAUGCAAGUCGAACGAGACCUUCGGGUCUAGUGGCGCACGGGUGCGUAACGCGUGGGAACCUGCCCUUAGGUUCGGAAUAACUCCCCGAAAGGGGUGCUAAUACCGGAUAAUGUCUUCGGACCAAAGAUUUAUCGCCUUUGGAUGGGCCCGCGUUGGAUUAGCUAGUUGGUAGGGUAAAAGCCUACCAAGGCGACGAUCCAUAGCUGGUCUGAGAGGAUGAUCAGCCACACUGGGACUGAGACACGGCCCAGACCCCUACGGGAGGCAGCAGUGGGGAAUUGUGGAAAAUGGGGGAAACCCUGUUCCAGCAAUGCCGGGUGGGGGAUGAAGGCCUUAGGGUUGUAAAGCCUUUUUACCCGGGAUUAAAAUGAAAGUACCGGGAGAAUAAGCCCCGGCAACCCCCGG